rnacentral:rRNA from 1 species
AGUGAACGCUGGCGGUAGGCCUAACACAUGCAAGUCGAACGGCAGCACAGGAGAGCUUGCUCUCUGGGUGGCGAGUGGCGGACGGGUGAGGAAUACAUCGGAAUCUACUCUGUCGUGGGGGAUAACGUAGGGAAACUUACGCUAAUACCGCAUACGACCUACGGGUGAAAGCAGGGGACCUUCGGGCCUUGCGCGAUUGAAUGAGCCGAUGUCGGAUUAGCUAGGUGGCGGGGUAAAGGCCCACCAAGGCGACGAUCCGUAGCUGGUCUGAGAGGAUGGUCAGCCACACUGGAACUGAGACACGGUCCAGACUCCUACGGGAGGCAGCAGUGGGGAAUAUUGGACAAUGGGCGCAAGCCUGAUCCAGCCAUACCGCGUGGGUGAAGAAGGCCUUCGGGUUGUAAAGCCCUUUUGUUGGGAAAGAAAUCCAGCUGGCUAAUACCCGGUUGGGAUGACGGUACCCAAAGAAUAAGCACCGGCUAACUUCGUGCCAGCAGCCGCCGUAA